UGAUGAGAACAUCCUGUGGCUGG
rnacentral:piRNA from 1 species